GCACCAUUAGUCCAACGGUUAGGAUAUGAGCCUUCCAAGCUCGAGACCCGGGUUCGACUCCCGGAUGGUGCA
rfam:Ostreococcus tauri, RCC4221, WGS project CAID01000000 data, contig: 02, chromosome: 2